rnacentral:rRNA from 1 species
CCUACGGGUGGCAGCAGUGAGGAAUAUUGGUCAAUGGUCGCGAGCCUGAACCAGCCAAGUAGCGUGAAGGAUGACUGCCCUACGGGUUGUAAACUUCUUUUAUAAGGGGAUAAAGUGCGGCACGUGUGCCGUUUUGUAUGUACUUUAUGAAUAAGGAUCGGCUAACUCCGUGCCAGCAGCCGCGGUAAUACGGAGGAUCCGAGCGUUAUCCGGAUUUAUUGGGUUUAAAGGGAGCGUAGAUGGGUUGUUAAGUCAGUUGUGAAAGUUUGCGGCUCAACCGUGAAAUUGCAAUUGAUACUGGCAGUCUUGAGUACAGUUGAGGUAGGCGGAAUGCGUGGUGUAGCGGUGAAAUGCUUAGAUAUCACGAAGAACUCCGAUUGCGAAGGCAGCUUACUAAACUGCCACUGACAUUGAGGCUCGAAAGUGUGGGUAUCAAACAGGAUUAGAUACCCUGGUAGUC